GCCAGGUGUGGGGGUGCACUCCUGUAAUCCCAGAGGCUUGGGAGGCAGAGGUAGGAGGAUCAUGAGUUCAAAAGCCAGCCUCAGCAACUUAUUGAGGCACUAAGCAACUCAGUGAGACUCUACCUCUA
rnacentral:sRNA from 1 species